rnacentral:rRNA from 1 species
UACGGAGGGUGCGAGCGUUGUCCGGAAUCAUUGGGCGUAAAGGGCGCGUAGGCGGCGCGGGAAGUCCGUGGUGAAAGCCCGAGGCUCAACUUCGGGUCGGCCAUGGAUACUCCUGGGCUUGAGCACUGUAGAGGCAGGUGGAAUUCCGGGUGUAGCGGUGGAAUGCGUAGAGAUCCGGAAGAACACCGGUGGCGAAGGCGGCCUGCUGGGCAGUAGCUGACGCUGAGGCGCGACAGCGUGGGGAGCAAACAGG